rnacentral:lncRNA from 10 species
GGAGAAGUGUGUAAGUCAACACAACCUGUUUUUUAAUUUUUAAAUAAGAAAGUAGAAUAAAAAAGAUGUCACUUUAAUUAAUCCAAAAUAAGCAACAAAAAAGCAGCAGCUACUUUGUCUCUUUCACAAGUUGUAAGGAGUUAGCUUCCAUUUUCUUGUGCUGUUUAGGGGCCUGGAUAACUAUAUUUAAAAAGCUCUGGACUACAGAUGUAACUUUUCUCUUGGACAUAGGUUUAGGGCCUAGAAUCAGGAAGUCAGGGACCCUCCUGGGUGUUAGGUGAGGCAUCCUGGAUCUUUUCAUUCUCUGAACAAGAAAGGUUGACUCAGAAAACAGAAGUGCUCUGUUUAAGAGUCUUCAGUUUAUCCUUCAGAAACUACUUGCAUUUUUUAAAACCAUAGGCAAUUAAUACUUUUUUUUUUUUUUUUUGAGAUGGAGUCUCGUUCUGUUGUCCAGGCCAGAGUGCAGUGGCCCAUCUCGGCUCACUGCAACCUCUGCCUGCUGGGUUCAAAUGAUUCUCCUGCCUCAGCCUCCUGAGUAGCUGGGAUUAAAGGCACGCACCCCAUGCCCAGCUAAUUUUUGUAUUUUUAGUAGAGACAGCGUUUCACCAUGUUAGCCAGGCUGGUCUCGAACUCCUGACCUCAGGCGAUCCGCCCACCUCGGCCUCCCAAAGUGCUGGCGUUAUGGGUGUGAGCCACCACGCCCGGCCCAAUAAAUACAUAUUUUAAUGAGCAGUCUAAAAUACAAAACUAGCCUGCCACAUCUUAGUAAGGACCUCGUUUCUGAGGCCUCCCCAGAAAUGAAGAAAUGAAUAUCAUGCAAUAUUUCUCUUUCUGUGUCUUCCUUAUUUCUCUUGGCAUAACAUCUACCAGCUUUUUUCUUGUUGUCAUAAAUGGCAGAAUUUCUGUGUUUUCAUGGCUGAAUAAUAUUUUAAUGUGUAUAUAUCACAUUUUCUUUACCCAUUUGUCCUUUGAAGGAAAUUUAGGUUGUUUCCGUGUCUUGGCCAUAGCAAAUAAUACUGUGGUGAACAUGAAGAUGGAGACAGAAAGGGUUUAAAAGGAGCUUCGAAAGAAGUCAGGGCAGCCAGGCACAGUGGCUCAUGCCUGUAAUCCCAGUACUUUGGGAGGCCGAGGAAGGCGGAUCACCUGAGGUCGGGAGUUUGAGACCAGCCUGACCAACACAGAGAAACCCCG